AACGUAGGUGGCAAGCGUUAUCCGGAAUUACUGGGCGUAAAGGGUGUGCAGGCGGGGAAGCAAGGGGGGUAUGAAAUCUCCAGGCUUAACCUGGAGGGGUUAUGCCAGACUGCAUCUCUAGAGGACGAGAGAGGGGGGUGGAAUUCCGGGUGUAGUGGUGAAAUGCGUAGAGAUCCGGAGGAACCCCAGAGGCGAAGGCGGCCCCCUGGCUCGUACCUGACGCUCAGCCACGAAAGCAUGGGGAGCGAACGGG
rnacentral:rRNA from 1 species